UUCAUGAAUCACCUGAAUCAACAAAGAGCCCAAUCGUCUUUGGUCUGCCGCAUGCACCUGGCGGGUGAACUACAAUUCUUCUCUAAGCUUGGGUUUCUCUCUUCUCGGCAACCUGUUUCAAACAAUCGGUAGGGUGUUCAUAGGUACCAUUCUCUCUGCUUCAAUUCUCUCUACUCUAAGCUUCGGUUUCUAUCUUCUCGGCAACCUGUUUCAAGCAAUCGGUUGGGUUUUCAUAGGAUUUUGCAUUGUCGCCGAUUUGGUGCAUGCUGGGAUUAUGCUGUGCACAUGAAUGAUUGGGUGGAGGAAUUGGUCAUCAGGUUAGCGAAAGGGCUUAUGGGGAGUGGGGACAGUUCCACGGAUUGGACAAAUGCAAAUGACAAGUUUUCAAUAUGUAAUUUUCUCCUAUAUAGUUGGCAUGGUCAUGUUCAGACUGGUUUGAGUUUCUUACUCUUUUCAUUGUUUUGAUUAUUUUUUUAGGACACAAUGGUUUUGAAGGAUUCUAAUUUUUCAAGUGUUGUCACUGUCAUGGCAAGAAUGAAUGCACAGAGUGCGGCUCUCAAGAGGGUACCAAAUAUUAAGUUUCUGAUAGCAAAGUUUUAAGGACUGAAAUUUGGGCAACCUAAGCUUGCUUCUAAUGCAUUUUCACAUCUCCAAUGUAGUGCAGCUUUCUCCACUUCAUAGAAAUGCAAGAACAGGUAAGGAUAUCAUAUAUGCACUUAGUAUAAUUGUGAUAAAGAUGAGAUUGUCUUUGAUCAUGAGCAUUUCGCCUGAAUUCUGUAUGGUAUGACUCUUAGGAGGGUACUAAAAAUAAAGUUCAUGAUAAUAAUAUGUAGAGAAAAGUUUAAAGAUUUGAAAAUUUGACAACCUAAGCUUGCAGCUAAUGCAUUCGAGUGCCCCUCUCUUUUUCA